CGACCGGCGCACGGGUGAGUAACGCGUAUGUAAUCUACCCGUAACAGAGGGAUAACCCGGAGAAAUCCGGACUAAUACCUCAUAGCACAUAUUAUUCGCAUGAAUUUUAUGUUAAAGAGACUCGGUUACAGAUGAACAUGCGUUCCAUUAGCUAGUUGGCGGGGUUACGGCCCACCAAGGCAACGAUGGAUAGGGGUUCUGAGAGGAAGGUCCCCCACACUGGUACUGAGACACGGACCAG
rnacentral:rRNA from 1 species